AGCGAACGUUUGCGGCGGGCCUAACACAUGCAAGUCGAACGCACUAGCAAUAGUGAGUGGCGCACGGGUGCGUAACACGUGGGUAAUCAACCCUUCAGCCUGGGAUAACGACUCGAAAGGGUCGCUAAUACCGGAUACGGCGCGAGAGGCUUCGGCUUCUCACGAGAAAGCCACGCAAGGGGCACUGAAGGACGAGCCUGCGGCCCAUCAGCUAGUUGGUGAGGUAAGAGCUCACCAAGGCUAAGACGGGUAGCUGGUCUGAGAGGAUGAUCAGCCACACUGGAACUGAGACACGGUCCAGACUCCUACGGGAGGCAGCAGUGGGGAAUAUUGCGCAAUGGGCGAAAGCCUGACGCAGCCACGCCGCGUGAGCGAUGAAGGCCUCGGUCGUAAAGACUCUGUGGGAGGAGACGAAGAAAGACCUGUGAAGAGCAGGCCUUGACGGUAGUCUCCUUAGCAAGCACCGGCGUAACUCCGUGCCA
rnacentral:rRNA from 1 species